rnacentral:rRNA from 1 species
UACGUAGGGUGCGAGCGUUGUCCGGAAUUAUUGGGCGUAAAGAGCUCGUAGGCGGUUUGUCGCGUCGACUGUGAAAACUGGGGGCUUAACUCUCAGCUUGCAGUUGAUACGGGCAGACUUGAGUUCGGUAGGGGAGACUGGAAUUCCUGGUGUAGCGGUGAAAUGCGCAGAUAUCAGGAGGAACACCGGUGGCGAAGGCGGGUCUCUGGGCCGAGUACUGACGCUGAGGAGCGAAAGCGUGGGGAGCGAACAGG